rnacentral:rRNA from 1 species
GCCUAGGAAUCUGCCUGGUAGUGGGGGACAACGUUUCGAAAGGAACGCUAAUACCGCAUACGUCCUACGGGAGAAAGCAGGGGACCUUCGGGCCUUGCGCUAUCAGAUGAGCCUAGGUCGGAUUAGCUAGUAGGUGAGGUAAUGGCUCACCUAGGCGACGAUCCGUAACUGGUCUGAGAGGAUGAUCAGUCACACUGGAACUGAGACACGGUCCAGACUCCUACGGGAGGCAGCAGUGGGGAAUAUUGGACAAUGGGCGAAAGCCUGAUCCAGCCAUGCCGCGUGUGUGAAGAAGGUCUUCGGAUUGUAAAGCACUUUAAGUUGGGAGGAAGGGCAGUAAGUUAAUACCUUGCUGUUUUGACGUUACCAACAGAAUAAGCACCGGCUAACUUCGUGCCAGCAGCCGCGGUAAUACGAAGGGUGCAAGCGUUAAUCGGAAUUACUGGGCGUAAAGCGCGCGUAGGUGGUUCAGCAAGUUGGAGGUG